GUUACACGGCAUAGUGGACAUGGCAUCUGCCCGGUAAGCGGAACAUUGUGGGUUCGAUUCCCAUCCCUGAACA